rnacentral:rRNA from 1 species
AGACGUCUACAUUAGAUACCCCCUGUAGUCCCAGCCGUAAACUAUGCGCGUUAGGUGUAUCGGUGACCACGAGUUACCGAGGUGCCGAAGGGAAACCGUGAAACGUGCCGCCUGGGAAGUACGGUCGCAAGGCUGAAACUUAAAGGAAUUGGCGGGGAGCACCACAACAGGUGGAGCCUGCGGUUUAAUUGGACUCAACGCCGGGAAGCUCACCGGAUAGGACAGCAGAAUGAUUGCCGGGCUGAAGACCCUGCAUGACUAGCUG